rnacentral:rRNA from 1 species
AACCUCAAAUCAGGUAGGAUUACCCGCUGAACUUAAGCAUAUCAAUAAGCGGAGGAAAAGAAACUAACAAGGAUUCCCCUAGUAACUGCGAGUGAAGCGGGAAGAGCUCAAAUUUAAAAUCUGGCAGUUCUCUGAGCUGUCCGAGUUGUAAUCUAGAGAAGUGCUUUCCGUGCUGGACCGUGUACAAGUCUCUUGGAAUGGAGCGUCAUAGAGGGUGAGAAUCCCGUCUUUGACACGGACUACCAGUGCUUUUGUGAUGCACUCUCGAAGAGUCGAGUUGUUUGGGAAUGCAGCUCAAAAUGGGUGGUAAAUUCCAUCUAAAGCUAAAUAUAGGCGAGAGACCGAUAGCGAACAAGUACCGUGAGGGAAAGAUGAAAAGAACUUUGAAAAGAGAGUUAAACAGUACGUGAAAUUGUUGAAAGGGAAACGC